ensembl:lncRNA
UUCUAGGUGCAAUCGCUACUGCACUCCAAAAAAUGCUGGGUUAAAAGCAACCCAUAGCUGGCUAAAUAGUGGACAGAACACGUGUUGGGUUAUUGAGCUAUGAUCCAGCAUGUCAGAUCAGAAUACAGAAUACUGGAGGCAUGGCUUUCAGUUCUUUUUGGCCACCUGUGAAAGUAAAUGCUGUUCCGGUUAAUCUGUUCUGUUGUAUUGUCAACACAUGUUAAAGUUGAGCACUGACACUUUUUUUUUUGUAACCAAGGGAACAACACUGUACACUAACCAUAGCCUUAUUUUUUUUGUAUGUCUUAACACGUUCCAAGCAAUAAGUAUGAACCCGGUGGCACUGCAGAAACCUUGAUGCACUCAACCAAGCGGUUGAACGUUUAAAUCCCCCAAAUAUUUAUGUAUACUCUAUGUCUAGCACUGCUAGCUUUAGGUUAAUGCAACAUUGGUGGUGAUAAUUGGGCAAUUAUUGACUUGAUUCUGGGCAGGUUUUAGUAAAGUGCAGGAAUGUAUUAUUGCCAAUAAGUCUGUAGCCCUAUCUCUUUUAUGCUCACAGACCUGGUGGUGUAGCUGGACAUUUCAGAUGGCUACCAAUGAAGAGGUUAUACUGUGGUCACACUAAUUGAAAACCGAAUACAGCAGCAUACUGUCAUUGUAUAGAAAUAACACCUUGAAGUUGUUGUAUACUUUUAGGCAAAAUGCAAACAUGUAUUCUUGACAAUAUACAGUAUGUAUGACCAAUCUCUUUUAUGUCCACAGGCCCAGUGGCGCUGGAGGAACUUCAGGUACCUACCAACAAAGAAGUUAGAGCAUCCCUUCCGCCUUCCGUUCACUGCAUGAAGAGGUAUAUACAGUACCCUCCUUUUAAGGAGCCCCUUUCUUCAUUUCUUCCACUAAACUUGUGUGCUCUCCAACCUUCCUUAGACUAAAUGUAUCAUCCUCCUCUCUCUGACUUUCAGGGCCAUGCAGCCAAGAGGCUUGACUUAACCCCACAGUGUGCUUGUUUGUUGUCUGGGUCUCUCUCGGGGAGGGAUGACAGUGGUGCUCAGUGGUGAAGCCAGGGUGGUGGCAGAAACGGACUGGCCAUAGGGAAGCUCGGGAAAAUAACAGAGAGGCUGGACCAUCUUUAGCUCAGUGGGUCGAUGAUACAUUUUUGGGGGGGCUAAUAUUGAAGGGUCUGGAAAGAAAAAAUGGGUUGGUGUGGGGACCUCAAGGAAAUGCCCGGCCGGUUUCUGGUCACUGACUUUCCCAAGGUGGAGGGGUGGUGCUAGGGGGAAGCGGGAAGCAGAAAGGCAGGCCGAAAGGUGGUGAGAUACAUAAACAGGUUGAAUGGAAAUCAGUGUUGACCGGGGGUUUUUCACCCCAAGGUGUCAGGGCCUGGAAGGUGGAGGGUGAAAUGACAUCUGUUCUCUUCCAAAUCUCAACCUCUACCCCAAUGCCCUAGCUGUUAUUAACAGGCAUGCCACCAGACACCAUCAAAAACCUUUCGAGCAAAAUAAUAUAACAAAUUUUGACACGUCGUGGUUUUGUAAGGGAUUUUAUGGAAGGUGAUAUAAUUAUCUGCUUCUUUGAUUCAAAAUUACUUUUUAUUUACAUUUCUGUUCAUUUGAAAGGUUUUUGUUGAGGUUGACUUGAAAAUGGAUGUAUCAAUAAAAUGUGUUCUGACUAGCAUGUUAAUGAGGAAAUCAAAAGUUCCUUGUUGGUUCGUUUAAAGAGUUGUUGUUUAUCCCCAACAAAGCACACAAUGCACAUCGACGGGCUGUUGUGGAAAUGUAAUAAAUGUGCACAUAUUUUUUUUUUUUAAAUCUGUUUUUAGCUUUUUCAUUAUGGGGUAUUGCGUGUAGAUUGAGGAGGGGAAAAAAUUAUUUAAGACAUUUUAGAAUAUGGCUUGUUAUUAUUUGAUCUUUUUCUCUACUAUUUCUCUUUUUUUCCCCUCUGUAUUGCUGGGAAGGGCCCGUGAGUAAGCAGUUCACUGUUAGUCUACACCUGUCCUUUACAAAGCAUGUGACAAAUAACACUUGAUUUGAUUUCAAACUGUAAUGAGUUCAGUUGUAAGUCAUUUCCAGUAAAGGUCUUUUGAGUGUUUGAUUUCAGUCUGUCUCGGCCAGUUUGUUGAACACACUGACAUGUUCACACUUGGCCUACUCUUAAACAAAGUUGUAAUAUGAAACACACUUUUUCCAAACCACAUAUUUAGUUUUUUACAUUUCUGGUGGCCUUCUCUUUAAAACACACUUCCUAGCGAGAGCCACUUCCUGUGGCUGAAGAAAGCACAAACAUGUUUAGAUAUUUCCCCGUUUCCCUGCCUGGAAUAACAAAGACAGAGUUAUUCCGAGGAAGACAAAGUGAGAGAAUAAAACUGAAUACGUUUUAGAGGAAGCCGAAUUCCAGGGAGAGAAAGAGAGGGGACUGGGACGGAGGGAAACUUUGAAAAAGUCCUAAAAAAAAGCUCAGCUAAAACAGACAAAAUCUCAUUCCCUUUGAAACGGACAGCUUUUUGAAGAAGCAGAAGUCAGGGCUGUGCGGCUGGUCCAGGGUGAGAUGAGAGGUAAAUGGGAUCUCCAAAUGUCAUCUUUGCAGAACAGUGUGGGUCUGGAUGAAAAGUUGGACGAUUAAUAAGGCUUGCAACAACCACAGUUUAAAUAAACACGUUAGCAUUUUUUUCUUUUUCUUUUAUGUACAUUUUGGAGUACUACCUCUUUCUUGCCACCUGGUUUAUUUACUGUAUCAUCAGUAUCCAGUGAAAUACUGGUGAAGUCUGUUUCAACAAACCACUGAAAGUAAUGCAUUGUUUACUUGUUUAGCUGUGCUGUGCUGAGUCUUUGCCACCUGGCAUUAGGUGUGGGUAUGUAGGGGCAUGACUGUUACCGUCUGUCUGGCCUGCUGUGGGACAUCACAUGACAGACCCAUUACAGCCCUCCCUUCAACUAUUACAUUUCUCUGCUUCAGCAUUUUCUCCCAGGGAGACGCAGAGCGAAAAAUGACACUGACAGGG